UACGGAGGGAGCUAGCGUUGUUCGGAAUUACUGGGCGUAAAGCGCACGUAGGCGGCGAUUCAAGUCAGAGGUGAAAGCCCGGGGCUCAACCCCGGAACUGCCUUUGAAACUAGAUUGCUAGAAUCCUGGAGAGGUUAGUGGAAUUCCGAGUGUAGAGGUGAAAUUCGUAGAUAUUCGGAAGAACACCAGUGGCGAAGGCGACUAACUGGACAGGUAUUGACGCUGAGGUGCGAAAGCGUGGGGAGCAAACAGGAUUAGAAACCCUUGUAGU
rnacentral:rRNA from 1 species